rnacentral:lncRNA from 1 species
GGUGGUUACUAUGUAUAGAAAUGGUGGUAUGAUGGUUUAGACUCGAAAUGGAAAGCCUCCAUCCAUUUGGAGUGGAUGAUGAUGAGGAACGGACCUGCACAUUGUCCAAAGGCAACCUCAGCAGACUUCUUCUGAUUCAGCCGGCAGCCGUCACGGGCACACACAUAUAUAUAUAUAUAUAUAUAUAUAUAUAUAUAUUAGUGCUGUCAGUUAAAUGCGUUAUUAACGGCGUUAACGCAAACCAAUUUUAACGGCGUUAAUUAUUUUUUUCUUUGGCUCAAAACAAAGAAGCAGUAGCCUGACUGCUAUGUUCAAGGCAGUAUGAAUGUAUGUUCAUCGUUUAAUUGCACUAUAGGCAUACUUUUUGUAUCGUCCUGUUUUGAUCAGUAUAUGCCAAUGUUGUUAUCAAUAAAAAAACAUUUGCACAAGGCAAGCCGAUGCACUUCUCCAUGUCCUCCCUCUCCUCACUGAAGAAGCCUCCACUGGUAUAUACAGUAUAUAUAUAUAUAUAAUGGGUUGUGUUACAGGGAUACCCUGGUCCAAAGGGAGCUCGAGGAGACCUAGCAGUUCAGGUCCUACAAUACCCUGGACUACCUGGAGAUCCUGGAUCAGAUGGCCCUAACGGCCGUGCUGGUGAGCAGGGGUACCAAGGCUUCCCUGGCCGUUCAGGGCCCAAUGGACCAGACGGACAAGAUGGUCUGCCGGGACUUCCUGGGUUCAGAGGUCUGCCAGGAGAAAAGGGGAGGUCAUUGCCUGGGCAACAAGGAGAGGAGGGGAACCAGGGCCCCCAGGGUCCUCCGGGGCCCUUUGAGAUCGUUGAGCCUCCCUGGGAGCGCUACAUCAAGGGCAGCAAGGGGGAGGAAGGGGUGAAAGGCCAGUGCGGCCCAGAGGGAGAAGACGUAAGUUAAAAUCCCUUUGAUAUAAUACGUUCUAAUAAUACAAUAAUAUUGAAUG